rnacentral:rRNA from 1 species
CGGACGGGUGAGUAACACGUGGGUAACCUGCCCAAGAGAUCGGGAUAACACCUGGAAACAGAUGCUAAUACCGGAUAACAACAGAUGAUGCCUAUCAACUGUUUAAAAGAUGGUUCUGCUAUCACUCUUGGAUGGGACCCUGCGGUGCAUUAGCUAGUUGGUAGGGGUAAACGGGCCUACCAAGGCGAUGAUGCAUAGCCGAGUUGAGAGACUGAUCGGCCACAUUGGGACUGAGACACGGCCCAAACUCCUACGGGAGGCAGCAGUAGGGAAUCUUCCACAAUGGACGCAAGUCUGAUGGAGCAACGCCGCGUGAGUGAAGAAGGGUUUCGGCUCGUAAAGCUCUGUUGUUGGUGAAGAAGGACAGGGGGUAGUAACUGACCUUUGUUUGACGGUAAUCAAUUAGAAAAGUCACGGGCUAACUACGUGCCAGCAGCCGCGGUAAAU